UACGAAGGGUGCAAGCGUUACUCGGAAUUACUGGGCGUAAAGCGUGCGUAGGUGGUUUGUUAAGUCUGUUGUGAAAGCCCCGGGCUCAACCUGGGAAUGGCAAUGGAUACUGGCAAGCUAGAGUGCGGUAGAGGGGUGUGGAAUUCCCGGUGUAGCGGUGAAAUGCGUAGAGAUCGGGAGGAACACCAGUGGCGAAGGCGGCACCCUGGACCAACACUGACGCUGAGGAGCGAAAGCCAGGGGAGCAAACGGG
rnacentral:rRNA from 1 species